CCUGCGUCGCAUCCAACUUACUCCAAGUUUUCUGGUGACUCCUACAGGGCCCUUUCCGUCCCCCCUCCCACCCCUUAGAGAGAUUGACAGUCGCGUGGAGGAGGCUUUUCCAGGCACAGCCUUUCUCAUGGUAAUCGGCCCCCAGCAUCACCUCCCGGCCGCGGCCGCUCCCGCUCCGUGCGCAGCUAGCGGACCCCGGGGACCGGAAACAAGGCGGCGGGCGGGGAGCCGGCCAGCGAGCCAGGCUCAACUCCGAAUGGAUUGGAUUGCGAGUUCGCAC